AGCGAACGCUGGCGGCAGGCCUAACACAUGCAAGUCGAACGAACUCUUCGGAGUUAGUGGCGGACGGGUGAGUAACACGUGGGAACGUGCCUUUUGGUUCGGAAUAACUCAGGGAAACUUGUGCUAAUACCGAAUGUGCCCUUCGGGGGAAAGAUUUAUCGCCAUUAGAGCGGCCCGCGUCUGAUUAGCUAGUUGGUGAGGUAACGGCUCACCAAGGCGACGAUCAGUAGCUGGUCUGAGAGGAUGACCAGCCACACUGGGACUGAGACACGGCCCAGACUCCUACGGGAGGCAGCAGUGGGGAAUCUUGAGCAAUGGGCGAAAGCCUGACGCAGCCAUGCCGCGUGAAUGAUGAAGGUCUUAGGAUUGUAAAAUUCUUUCACCGGGGACGAUAAUGACGGUACCCGGAGAAGAAGCCCCGGCUAACUUCGUG
rnacentral:rRNA from 1 species